GCUGGGUGCGGUGGUGCACGCCUGUAAUCCCACUGGCCCAGGAGGCUGAGGCAGGAGUAUCGCAAGUUCAAAGCCAACUUCAGCAAAAAGGGAGGCACUAAGCAAUUCAGUGAGACCCUGUCUCUA
rnacentral:sRNA from 1 species